UCUAUUUCAUUUUUUUCUAAGUGACAAAAUUAUCUAUGAAGUUAACACUUACAACCUCACUUCUACUUGAAGUAGUAUGAGUUUUCAACCAUUGGAUGAAUUUUCCAUCAUCUUCCCAAUCAUACAAUCCUGGAUCCAUAUAACUUAAUAGGAUAGGUUGAAUUACAUUAGAAUAAGCCAAUUCCUUUGUUCCUAAAUUGAAAAAUCUCACUUUUUUUUCUUUUAAUUCAUUCUAUGGUUGUGGGUUUAGAAUCUCAUCUUUUGAAUAGUGAGAUGAAUUUUUUUCUAAAAAUAAUCCAUGGGAUUGAAUGAAGAUUUUUGUGAGGUUUUUUAGUAGACCAUAAAUAAUAUGGGAUUUUUUACUACCUCAAUCAAUCUUUGCACUUGUUGCCCUUAAUCAUGGUCUACCUAGAAGCAAUGGAUAUGAAUUUUUGUUAAGAUGCAUGUAUAUAACAUAGAAUGUGAGGGAAUACUCUUCAC
rnacentral:lncRNA from 1 species